rnacentral:tRNA from 1 species
GGGAUCUAGCUCAUCCGGGAGAGCGCAUCGCUGGCAGCGAUGAGGUCAGGGGUUCGACUCCCCUAGGCUCUA